AAGCUAGUAAAGUAUAUUCCGUACCGGAAUUCACAUAAUACAUACAUGCGUUCUUUGCAACUUGCAUUUAAAAUUCCCGUAGAUUGAUAGUUCACCGCUUGGCCACCAGAUUCCACCACCUCAAUAUAUGCCUUGAGAAUAUCUCAAUUGUUAAUGAAGGUUUCUGUAUUUUGGGUUGUUGCGCCAUAUAGUCUGGUAGAAAGGAAGGACCGCUGAGACGUCUGUAAACUUCUGCCAAAUUACACGGCACAACAACCCAGAAGACAGCAAUCUUCAGGUUAUUUACCUAUUUGUGACCUGACCACUAGGACUGUAUUACUCUACCCGAUGUAACAAAUUCCGUCAUAAUGACCUGCUACAUUAAUCAACUUUAUUUCUGACAGCUUCUCACAGAUAUUUUCAACUGUGCAAGCUGAAGGAUAAUUUUGAUUCAGAUAUUUUUCAUGGUACUAAUGCUGCACGGUCACUGCAAACAACUCACCUUGAAGCUCAACACCCAUGCAGCAUUGACCAGCUGGGGUACCAAUCAUGUGGAAGUUCUGUCAAGGAGAAACAAGUGACCAUAACAUUUUAGUGCUCACAACAGACAAGUUAAAUUCUAAAUCAGAAUUCCUUUACAAUGUGGGAAAGAUAACAUUUUCUGUCAUCUACAUGCCGUACAUUUUGAUUCACAAGCAUAUAGUUCAACCAUAAUGUGAUGAAUAUUAGUGAGCUGCGAUCGUGCAUUAGGCGGCAACAGUUUGUGAAAACGGUGAUAAUAUUGCACCAACUGAGUCAGCGCCAGCUGCAAAAGUGUGGAUCCUGUUACUAGGCUGGGGAAUGACGACAGGAUUUCCCGAUUCAACUCCGCCAGUGAUCGCUUCCACCCUGCAGAGAAAGACUGCACCAGACCCAAUGCCUUUCCUGCAACAUCAGUCAGAGGUAUAAGAGGUCAGAACCCAAUGCCAGCAGUUGGCUUGUCCUACGGCAGGAGCAGCCGGAAAAGAAUAAGGAAGAUCAUCCAUCCUAUUCAGUACAUAUACAAAAAGGCACAAAAGUUAUAGUGUUAGAAAACAGAUUUGCCUUUUGAGGACUCCAUACAUCAGUAACUGCAGAUUUGCAACAUCCAGAUACAGAUUAAUUGACACUUUAAGCCUGGUCAUUUUAUCACUACUAUCCACCUCAGUCAGCCAAGAUGCCGAUGGUUACAGCAGUAAAAUCUCAACUUUAAAAAAUCACCUUAAAAUAACCAGAUUGAACAUGAACUUUGCAGUGUUCAAUAGCUCAAUGUUUCUAGUAUUAGUUAUCAGUGCUAGAGACCUAUAACUUGAAUCACUGUGACGUUAUGCCAUCUCAACGCUUGCUACUCAAGACGUAAUUCCUUCUUGUAUGGACUGUGUGUUUGUGUUCUAUCACAACCAAGGCCAAGGGAGUGGGCAAUGGAAUGAUUGUGCAUCCAUGUCUAAAUACAAAUGUUUACAGUUUGAUAUUGAUACAAGACAAAAAUAAACCAGAUCAGAGCAUGA